UACAGGGGGUGCAAGCGUUGCUCGGAAUCAUUGGGCGUAAAGCGCGCGUAGGCGGUCUGUUAUGUCGGAUGUGAAAGCCCUUGGCUCAACUGAGGAAGUGCAUCCGAAACUGGCAGGCUAGAGUACUAAAGAGGAUGGCGGAAUUCCCGGUGUAGAGGUGAAAUUCGUAGAUAUCGGGAGGAACACCGGUGGCGAAGGCGGCGAUCUGGGUAGAUACUGACGCUGAGGUGCGAAAGCGUGGGGAGCAAACAGG
rnacentral:rRNA from 1 species